rnacentral:rRNA from 1 species
CACGUAGGGGACGAGCGUUGUCCGGAAUUAUUGGGCGUAAAGAGCUCGUAGGCGGACUGUCACGUCUGCUGUGAAAAGCUGGGGCUUAACCCUGGCCUUGCAGUGGAUACGGGCAGACUAGAGGUAGGUAGGGGAGAAUGGAAUUCCCGGUGUAGCGGUGAAAUGCGCAGAUAUCGGGAGGAACACCGGUGGCGAAGGCGGUUCUCUGGGCCUUACCUGACGCUGAGGAGCGAAAGCGUGGGGAGCGAACAGG